rnacentral:rRNA from 1 species
GAUGAACGCUAGCUACAGGCUUAACACAUGCAAGUCGAGGGGAAACGAUAUUGGAAGCUUGCUUCCGAUAGGCGUCGACCGGCGCACGGGUGAGUAACGCGUAUCCAACCUGCCCAUCACUUGGGGAUAACCUUGCGAAAGUAAGACUAAUACCCAAUGACGUCUCUAGAAGACAUCUGAAAGAGAUUAAAGAUUUAUCGGUGAUGGAUGGGGAUGCGUUUGAUUAGCUUGUUGGCGGGGUAACGGCCCACCAAGGCGACGAUCAGUAGGGGUGCUGAGAGGAAGGUCCGCCACAUUGGAACUGAGACACGGUCCAAACUCCGACGAGAGGCAACAGUGAGGAAUAUUGGUCAAUGAGCGGGAGCUUGAACCAGCCAAGUAGCGUGCAGGAUGACGGCCCUAUGAGCUGUAAACUGCUUUUAUAAGGGAAUAAAGUGGGAGUCGUGACUCCUUUUGCAUGUACCUUAUGAAUAAGGACCGGCUAAUUCCGUGCCAGCAGCCGCAGUAA